GUGUCAGCAGCCGCGGUAAUACGGAGGGGGCUAGCGUUGUUCGGAAUCACUGGGCGUAAAGCGCACGUAGGCCGGCUGUUAAGUCGGGGGUGAAAGCCUGGAGCUCAACUCCAGAACUGCCUCCGAUACUGGCAGCCUUGAGUCCGAGAGAGGUGAGUGGAAUUCCCAGUGUAGAGGUGAAAUUCGUAGAUAUUGGGAAGAACACCAGUGGCGAAGGCGGCUCACUGGCUCGGUACUGACGCUGAGGUGCGAAAGCGUGGGGAGCAAACAGGAUUAGAUACCCUCGUAGUCC
rnacentral:rRNA from 1 species